AACGAACGCUGGCGGCAGGCUUAACACAUGCAAGUCGAACGCCCCGCAAGGGGAGUGGCAGACGGGUGAGUAACGCGUGGGAACGUACCUUUCAGUUCGGAAUAACUCAGGGAAACUUGUGCUAAUACCGGAUACGCCCGCAAGGGGAAAGAUUUAUCGCUGAAAAGAUCGGCCCGCGUUGGAUUAGCUAGUUGGUGGGGUAAAGCCUACCAAGGCGACGAUCCAUAGCUGGUCUGAGAGGAUGAUCAGCCACACUGGGACUGAGACACGGCCCAGACUCCUACGGGAGGCAGCAGUGGGGAAUAUGGACAAUGGGCGCAAGCCUGAUCCAGCCAUGCCGCGUGUGUGAUGAAGGCCUUAGGGUUGUAAAGCACUUUCACCGAUGAAGAUAAUGACGGUAGUCGGAGAAGAAGCCCCGGCUAAACUUCGUGCCAGCAGCCGCGGUAAAAGUACUCUAAU
rnacentral:rRNA from 1 species